GACGAACGCUGGCGGCGUGCCUAAUACAUGCAAGUCGAACGAACUCUGGUAUUGAUUGGUGCUUGCAUCAUGAUUUACAUUUGAGUGAGUGGCGAACUGGUGAGUAACACGUGGGAAACCUGCCCAGAAGCGGGGGAUAACACCUGGAAACAGAUGCUAAUACCGCAUAACAACUUGGACCGCAUGGUCCGAGCUUGAAAGAUGGCUUCGGCUAUCACUUUUGGAUGGUCCCGCGGCGUAUUAGCUAGAUGGUGGGGUAACGGCUCACCAUGGCAAUGAUACGUAGCCGACCUGAGAGGGUAAUCGGCCACAUUGGGACUGAGACACGGCCCAAACUCCUACGGGAGGCAGCAGUAGGGAAUCUUCCACAAUGGACGAAAGUCUGAUGGAGCAACGCCGCGUGAGUGAAGAAGGGUUUCGGCUCGUAAAACUCUGUUGUUAAAGAAGAACAUAUCUGAGAGUAACUGUUCAGGUAUUGACGGUAUUUAACCAGAAAGCCACGGCUAACUACGUGCCAGCAGCCGCGGUAAUACGUAGGUGGCAAGCGUUGUCCGGAUUUAUUGGGCGUAAAGCGAGCGCAGGCGGUUUUUUAAGUCUGAUGUGAAAGCCUUCGGCUCAACCGAAGAAGUGCAUCGGAAACUGGGAAACUUGAGUGCAGAAGAGGGCAGUGGAACUCCAUGUGUAGCGGUGAAAUGCGUAGAUAUAUGGAAGAACACCAGUGGCGAAGGCGGCUGUCUGGUCUGUAACUGACGCUGAGGCUCGAAAGUAUGGGUAGCAAACAGGAUUAGAUACCCUGGUAGUCCAUACCGUAAACGAUGAAUGCUAAGUGUUGGAGGGUUUCCGCCCUUCAGUGCUGCAGCUAACGCAUUAAGCAUUCCGCCUGGGGAGUACGGCCGCAAGGCUGAAACUCAAAGGAAUUGACGGGGGCCCGCACAAGCGGUGGAGCAUGUGGUUUAAUUCGAAGCUACGCGAAGAACCUUACCAGGUCUUGACAUACUAUGCAAAUCUAAGAGAUUAGACGUUCCCUUCGGGGACAUGGAUACAGGUGGUGCAUGGUUGUCGUCAGCUCGUGUCGUGAGAUGUUGGGUUAAGUCCCGCAACGAGCGCAACCCUUAUUAUCAGUUGCCAGCAUUAAGUUGGGCACUCUGGUGAGACUGCCGGUGACAAACCGGAGGAAGGUGGGGAUGACGUCAAAUCAUCAUGCCCCUUAUGACCUGGGCUACACACGUGCUACAAUGGAUGGUACAACGAGUUGCGAACUCGCGAGAGUAAGCUAAUCUCUUAAAGCCAUUCUCAGUUCGGAUUGUAGGCUGCAACUCGCCUACAUGAAGUCGGAAUCGCUAGUAAUCGCGGAUCAGCAUGCCGCGGUGAAUACGUUCCCGGGCCUUGUACACACCGCCCGUCACACCAUGAGAGUUUGUAACACCCAAAGUCGGUGGGGUAACCUUUUAGGAACCAGCCGCCUAAGGUGUGACAGAUGAUUAGGGUG
rnacentral:rRNA from 1 species